CCUACGGGAGGCAGCAGUGAGGAAUAUUGGUCAAUGGCCGGAAGGCUGAACCAGCCAUGCCGCGUGAAGGUCAGUGCCCUAUGGGCGUUAAACUUCUUUUGUGCGGGAGCAAUAAUGGUCACGUGUGGCCAGACGAGAGUACCGUACGAAUAAACAUCGGCUAACUCCGUGCCAGCAGCCGCGGUAAUACGGGGGAUGCAAGCGUUAUCCGGAUUUAUUGGGUUUAAAGGGUGCGUAGGCUGUGAGGUAAGUCAGCGGUGAAAUGCCCCCGCUCAACGGGGUGAAGUGCCAUUGAUACUGCCUGGCUGGAAUGCGGAUGCCGUGGGAGGAAUGUGUGGUGUAGCGGUGAAAUGCAUAGAUAUCACACAGAACACCGAUUGCGAAGGCAUCUCACGAAUCCGCGAUUGACGCUGAUGCACGAAAGCGUGGGUAUCAAACAGGAUUAGAUACCCGAGUAGUC
rnacentral:rRNA from 1 species